UACAGAGGUCCCAAGCGUUGUUCGGAUUCAUUGGGCGUAAAGGGUGCGUAGGCGGCGCGGUAAGUCGGGUGUGAAAUCUCGGAGCUUAACUCCGAAACUGCAUUCGAUACUGCCGUGCUUGAGGACUGGAGAGGAGACUGGAAUUUACGGUGUAGCGGUGAAAUUCGUAGAUAUCGAGAGGAACACCGGUGGCGAAGGCGGGUCUCUGGGCCGAUACUGACGCUGAGGAGCGAAAGCGUGGGGAGCGAACAGG
rnacentral:rRNA from 1 species